GAUGAACGCUGGCGGCGUGCCUAAUACAUGCAAGUCGAGCGAACAGACGAGGAGCUUGCUCCUCUGACGUUAGCGGCGGACGGGUGAGUAACACGUGGAUAACCUACCUAUAAGACUGGGAUAACUUCGGGAAACCGGAGCUAAUACCGGAUAAUAUAUUGAACCGCAUGGUUCAAUAGUGAAAGACGGUUUUGCUGUCACUUAUAGAUGGAUCCGCGCCGCAUUAGCUAGUUGGUAAGGUAACGGCUUACCAAGGCAACGAUGCGUAGCCGACCUGAGAGGGUGACCGGCCACACUGGAACUGAGAACGGGCCCAGACUCUUACGGGAGGCAGCAGUAGGGAAUCUUCCGAAAUGGGCGAAAGCCUGACGGAGCAACGCCGCGUGAGUGAUGAAGGUCUUCGGAUCGUAAAACUCUGUUAUUAGGGAAGAAAAAAUGUGUAAGUAACUAUGCACGUUUUGACGGUACCGAAUAAGAAAGCCACGCCUAACUACGU
rnacentral:rRNA from 1 species